UUGAACGCUGGCGGCAGGCCUAACACAUGCAAGUCGAGCGGAUGAAGGGAGCUUGCUCCUGGAUUCAGCGGCGGACGGGUGAGUAAUGCCUAGGAAUCUGCCUGGUAGUGGGGGAUAACGUCCGGAAACGGGCGCUAAUACCGCAUAUGUCCUGAGGGAGAAAGUGGGGGAUCUUCGGACCUCACGCUAUCAGAUGAGCCUAGGUCGGAUUAGCUAGUUGGUGGGGUAAAGGCCUACCAAGGCGACGAUCCGUAACUGGUCUGAGAGGAUGAUCAGUCACACUGGAACUGAGACACGGUCCAGACUCCUACGGGAGGCAGCAGUGGGGAAUAUUGGACAAUGGGCGAAAGCCUGAUCCAGCCAUGCCGCGUGUGUGAAGAAGGUCUUCGGAUUGUAAAGCACUUUAAGUUGGGAGGAAGGGCAGUAAGUUAAUACCUUGCUGUUUUGACGUUACCAACAGAAUAAGCACCGGCUAACUUCGUG
rnacentral:rRNA from 1 species